rnacentral:rRNA from 1 species
GACGAACGCUGGCGGCGUGCUUAACACAUGCAAGUCGAACGGAAAGGCCUCUUUCGGGGGGUACUCGAGUGGCGAACGGGUGAGUAACACGUGAGUAACCUGCCCUUGACUUUGGGAUAACUUCAGGAAACUGGGGCUAAUACAGGAUAGGAGCUCCUGCUGCAUGGUGGGGGUUGGAAAGUUUCGGCGGUUGGGGAUGGACUCGCGGCUUAUCAGCUUGUUGGUGGGGUAGUGGCUUACCAAGGCUUUGACGGGUAGCCGGCCUGAGAGGGUGACCGGCCACAUUGGGACUGAGAUACGGCCCAGACUCCUACGGGAGGCAGCAGUGGGGAAUAUUGCACAAUGGGUGGAAGCCUGAUGCAGCAACGCCGUGUGCGGGAUGACGGCCUUCGGGUUGUAAACCGCUUUCGCUCAUGACGAAGCUUUGUGUGACGGUAGUGGGUAAAGAAGCACCGGCUAACUACGUG